GCAAAUCACGCCCCGCGGAAGAAACGCUUCGUCAAAAUGUACCCAGUCAACCCCCAACCACGUCCAUACAGCUCCUCUCCAAUCGGCACGCCGCCUGCAUCUUCGGCUCCCUCGUCCCUCCCCGCGCCAUCCACCUCAUCUCGCACUGCACCCGCCAUGGCAACGGGCUGAAUGCAUCCUGCAGUGGACGGACGGUCAGCAUCUCCUGCUCCAUCCCGACUCGAACUGAGAAUCCGCGCCGGCCGGCCUGAAUGCAUUUUCGUUUAGAACCGAAGAUCCGCACCGCCACGCAGGAUCCGGAUUUGGCCAUGUUCCCUGGAUGCCGCCGCGCUGAGUUCACCGACCGGCUGGCUCAGAUCCACGCAUCCUUAUCAUCAAGAAGACACCCUCCGUGUAGCACCAGAAAUCACAUCGUUGUUGCCGCCGCCUGCAUUUCACGCUCGACCCCACUUUCCCCCGUCCCCGUUUGAGCUCGCCUUGAUUUCUAGCCGCCGCCGCCGCUGUUCCCCACCUCCGGAGCCGUGCUCUCCUCCCGUCAGCGGGGAGAAGCCGCUCCCCAGCGGGAUCUCCACCUCUCCGGUGUGGGGAACGGCCACGACCUCUCUUGCCCUGCCCUGUGUCUUGUCCGGAAUUCAUCAGUCAGGCCGUCCCCAAACCUCCACAUUCUAAAGGGUCGGAUGACAUAGCUGUUAUCAAUAAUUAUGAGACCGAUGCAUAACUUAUUGAGGAAGGGCGGAGAGCACGAAUGUUCAGAAUUUGCUGCAGAGUUGUAUCCUGAUGUAAAGAAGAAUGUGGAUAUUUCAGUAAUUGGAGCUGGAGAGAGCAUAUCCUUACGACGUUUGACAAAAGAAUCACCAAUUUUGCUGAGGACAAGUUUAAGAGCGAAGGAAUAGAUCUGAGCUCCGAAGGAACACAUGACCGCUGCUGCAGUGUUGGAGUGCAGUGUCUAUGGUCGUCGAAGCGCUAAAUCCCCUAUAUUCAAAGGCCACCAGAUAUACAACUACACUCUGAAAAUGCCAUUUCUGUCGCUCUAACCGAUGGCGGCCUUUUAUAUGCACACCAAGAUUCAAGAAUUGAUGAAGUAGGCAUCGGGUUGUCUUUGAUGUCAGUUUGCAAGAACAUCUUUUCAUAUCCCAUUACACCGUUCGCUUUCUUCUCUAUUGCGGAAAGAAAUGAAGAAAUGUUUUGGAGAGGAUGCCAAACAAGAGGAAUGUUCAGCUGUGCAGUCCAGUGAGUUCUUCUCUCAGGCUUGAACAGGUCUUGGACUCAGAUCUGUUUCUGCUUCAGUGCCGUGCUGCAUAAUCUUCGUCAGAGUUCUUUGUGAGGACCAUUCAAGAGAGAUUUGGUUUAUCAAAUUAUACAUCUUUGGAACUCGGAGAACAGAAUGAAGAAGCUUUGGUGUUGCAUUAUCAUCGAGUUCAAAGUUCUCACACUUGGGGCUUUAGCUUCUUAAUUGCAAUAGCAAUUUAUCAUGCUAAAGAUGAUACCGCUAAUGACAUGGAGUGCGGCCACCAUGAACGAGGAAUAAGAGAAUCUGAUUCGGAGGGUGAAGAGUACGACCAUUUGCUGAAUGUUGGUGGUUCCUGUGGGCAAUUGAUUAUCCCAUUUCUGCAGUUACCUCCAUAACAAAAAGUUCAGCAAAGAAUAUUUUUGGAAUGACUCGAUUGAGCAGAUGGUACGCUGCUGAUUUUUCUAUAAUGGAUGACAUGAUAAUGAUGUAUAGGUCGACCAACUUAAGCUAUAGUGGAGAUUUACGAGAUUCCAACAUUUUCUAGCUCCAGUUUGGAAGCUUAUACUGCAAAUGGAGAAAAUAUACUAUAUAUUUCCAUUUCUAUCUGUCAAAUGUAUUUCCAUUUCUAUCUAUCAAAUGUUACUUUGAAUAUUAGGCUCUUUCCUUGAGGUGAGACAUUCAGCAAAUGUAGACAAUGUACUAGAUAUUUCUAUACCUAUGAUCAGAAUGUUAUUUUGCACUAUGUUGGAUUGUGUGAAACUUAUUAGGCUGUUUUCUUGAAGCGAUACAUUUAGCAGAUGGGAUUGAACUUUUUUCGUUCAAAUUAAUUACUGUGUCCCGGAGCUCAUUUUGCUUUUGG